GCCUGGGUGGCUCAGUCAGUUAAGCAUCUGACUUCAGCUCAGUCAUGAUCUCAGGUUCGUGAGUUCAAGCCCCGCAUCAGGCU
rnacentral:tRNA from 1 species